rnacentral:rRNA from 1 species
AACGAACGCUGGCGGCAUGCCUAACACAUGCAAGUCGAACGAGACCUUCGGGUCUAGUGGCGCACGGGUGCGUAACGCGUGGGAACCUGCCCUCAGGUUCGGAAUAACUCCCCGAAAGGGGUGCUAAUACCGGAUAAUGUCUUCGGACCAAAGAUUUAUCGCCUUUGGAUGGGCCCGCGUUGGAUUAGCUAGUUGGUAGGGUAAAAGCCUACCAAGGCGACGAUCCAUAGCUGGUCUGAGAGGAUGAUCAGCCACACUGGGACUGAGACACGGCCCAGACUCCUACGGGAGGCAGCAGUGGGGAAUAUUGGACAAUGGGCGAAAGCCUGAUCCAGCAAUGCCGCGUGAGUGAUGAAGGCCUUAGGGUUGUAAAGCUCUUUUACCCGGGAUGAUAAUGACAGUACUGGGAGAAUAAGCUCCGGCUAACUCCGUG